rnacentral:rRNA from 1 species
AGAGUUWGAUCCUGGCUCAGGAYGAACGCUGGCGGCGWGCUUAACACAUGCAAGUCAAGGGGGCCCGCAAGGGCAACCGGCGAACGGGUGCGUAACACGUGAGCAACCUGCCUUUGUGMGGGGAUAGCCGGGCUAACGCCCGGGUAAUACCGCAUACGGUUCUCGAGGGGAGUCCCUUGGGAAAGAAACCUCCGGGGCACAGAGAGGGGCUCGCGGCCUAUCAGCUAGUUGGCGGGGUAAUGGCCCACCAAGGCGACGACGGGUAGCUGGUCUGAGAGGAUGGCCAGCCACAUUGGGACUGAGAGACGGCCCAGACUCCUACGGGAGGCAGCAGUGGGGAAUCUUGCGCAAUGGCCGAAAGGCUGACGCAGCGACGCCGCGUGUGGGAGGACGCCUUUCGGGGUGUAAACCACUGUUGCCCGGGACGAACAUCCCUUUUCGAGGGGACUGACGGUACCGGGUGAGGAAGCACCGGCUAACUCCGUGCCAGCAGCCGCGGUAAUACGGAGGGUGCGAGCGUUGUCCGGAAUCAUUGGGCGUAAAGGGCGCGUAGGUGGCGGGAUAAGCGUGCGGUGAAAGCUCGGGGCUCAACCCCGAGUCGGCCGUGCGAACUAUUCUGCUUGAGCACUGUAGAGGCAGGCGGAAUUCCGGGUGUAGCGGUGAAAUGCGUAGA